rnacentral:rRNA from 1 species
ACUCAAAUGAAUAGACGGGGGCCCGCACAAGCGGUGGAGUAUGUGGCUUAAUUCGAUGCAACGCGAAGAACCUUACCAGGGUUUGACAUGUAUCGUGUCGGCGGUGAAAGCCGCCUAGCUAUAGCAAUAUAGCGCUUUACACAGGUGCUGCAUGGCUGUCGUCAGCUCGUGUCGUGAGAUGUUGGGUUAAGUCCCGCAACGAGCGCAACCCUUACGUCCUGUUGCUAUCGCCUUCGGGCGAGCACUCUGGACGGACUGCCCUGUGAAACGGGGAGGAAGGUGAGGAUGACGUCAAGUCAGCAUGGCCCUUACACCCUGGGCUGCACACGUACUACAAUGCUCAGUACAAUACGAGCCGAGACCGCGAGGUGGAGGAAAUCUCAAAAACUGAGCCCAAUUCGGAUCGCAGGCUGCAACUCGCCUGCGUGAAGCUGGAAUCGCUAGUAAUGCCGUAUCAGCUACGACGGCGUGAAUACGUUCCCGGGCCUUGCACACACCGCCCGU